rnacentral:lncRNA from 1 species
GACCCAGCACAGUGACAGAACCAAGUCUGUCACUUGCAUCAAGUGGAGAUGCCUCAACUUCGAUAGGGCCUCCUCUGAGCUCUCCUUCGUGCCCCCUCCUUGCUCUGCUCCAGGGCCCCUGACGGCGACACCUGUCUCACUGAGGGACACUGGGGCUCUUCUCGUCUCUGCCUUCAAUAAGGGAAUGACCGCAUCGUGCAGCCACCGAGACAGUCCACCCAGUGGAUGUGGAAGAGGAGGGAGGAAAGAGACAAGUUCAAGUGCAAGGCCUCGAGGGACCCCAAUGAUACCAGCUGAUGGACUGGUGGGAAGGGAGAAGGGAAGGGACAGGGGCGGUCCUGGCUGGGCCACCUGA